UGUUGCCUGGACCUAUAAAGGUUGUAGCCUCCACGUACACGUGAGGGUUGGAGUGGCCACAUCCAGCCCUGCCUGAGCAGCAGGAGCUAAGCCUCACCCCUGGAGCAGGACCCAGAGGCCAAGAACUGACCCUGGAAAAGUCUGAAGUUGAGUCAGAAGACAAGGAUGAGAAAUUUGGCUUCUCCUUGUCUCCAGCCUCCAGUUCACCCAAGAAGACAGUGGGUAUCUGGAGCUGUAUGAGGAACAGGGGGUGACCACCCCAAAACCCCACCUGCAGGUCCCUGGACACGUGUGCCACCACCAGACCCAUCGAUGGAGACAGCUUUGCUCCUGCAGGAUGGGAUGCAGUCACCUUCCCGGCAGAAAGAGUCUCCUCCCCCCCCAGGGCUGCUGCUCAUCACUCAGCUGCAAAAUCCCACAUGAAGUCCCACCUGUAAAGGAGGAAUCCAGAGGAAGACACACAGCUCUGCCCUUACCUUCUCCAAACUCACAGAUCGGUGUCAUCCAAGGUCACAUAUUUGUGCAGCAGGAGAACUACUGCCAGAGCUUAGCGCUUGCAAUUCAUGCUUCAGUAAAGAGCAGCAUCUUUAGGUGCUGGAUUUAAAAGAAAGACUUAAGUGGAAUCACCCAAAAAAUUCUCGCCCAUUGGUUACAUUUUCAUGUUCGGUGUUAAUGUUCUUCCCUCCUUGUGCUCAGGCUCAGAAAAAGCUUGCCAAGACCUUCAGCAACAAUUCCUUUUUUUCCUCCUCAAAACCAGGCCUGAGAGCUCUCGUGCUGGAUUGCAGCUGCUCUAUAUUUAACCUUUUUUCUCAUGUCCAUGGAAAAACUUUCGGAAAGUUGUGCUCCGAGCUGAAGAAAAAGGAGGAUUUUUAUUAUUAUUUUUUUUUUUUACAAAAUGCAACAAAUCUCCACAAGCAGGAAAAUCUUUUGUUUCCAUCAGCAGUUUUCAGAGAGUGGGAAUGGUUCCUGGCCAACUCUCAGCAUAAACUCCAGCCAGGCUCAGCUCAAAGGGAGGCAGAAGAUCCCUGUGGAGAAGCUCAUCCCAGAAUGGCCCCAGGCAGGGGAUCAUCUCCACUUCCCUCUGAAGAGUCAGACACUGGACCUCAAGCCUGGGGGAAAACACAGCCAUUCCCACAUUUUUAUGGUUUCUUUUCAUUACUCCAGGUGGGAGUUUAGAAGGAAGAAGUGUUUUCAGGCUCAUGGCACUGCAGUGAUGGGAAGCAGAGCACUGGACGUUCAUUUCUCCCGGUGCAAACCCCCUGCAAAUUAAAGCUGCAACACGGGCAGGAGUCCCCCCUGAGGUGACCCCUGUGCUCAAGGGGCACCAAGUGUCACUGCUGCCUUGCCAAGCUGUUGCUAAUUACUGAAAGCAUUUUAUAUAUUAAGAAAAAAAAAAAAGAAGAAGAAGCAAGAAGUUCCCCCAUUAAAAACCAUAAGUUUUAUUUGUGUGUAACACCAGCCAGUUCUGGAGAUGACCCUGAAAGAUUUGGGGGUUAUUUUUUUCUUUAUUUCUUUCCCCCCUCUCAAAAGAGAUGCAGAAAGGAGAUGGGUAAGGCUGCAGAAACAGGGUGGAAAGUUUGCAUUACACUGAGCAGGAGAGACAGGGCACAGCUGAAUUUAUGGCAACUCUGAGAAAAAAAUGAUCAAUGGAAGCUGUAAUUUUUGUUGGGUGGGGAGCAGAUCACAGAUGAGGGAACAAAAUAAAAUAAGCAUAAAUCCAAAACGUGGCAGGACAGUUGGGAGUAGAAAGUGUUUAGCUCAUGAUGUGAGUUUCUUCUGGAACACAAUCCAGAGCAGUGCAUGGAAAUGACCUGCAAAGAGAUUUUCUGUUAAGUCAUGUUAAGGUGAACUCUCUCUAUGAUGGCCUGAUUGAUUGGUGCUGGUACUUGUGCCCAGCCUGGAGCCCAAAGUGCCAGCCAGGUCCCAGAUCUCCAUGGACACAGGAUCAUAGAAUGGCUUGGUUGAAGGGGCCUUAAAGAUCAUCCAGUCCCCAACCCCUGCCAUGGGCAGGGACACCUCCCAGCAGACCAGGCUGCUCCAAGCCCCAUCCAACCUGCCCUUCAACACUGCCAGGGAUGGGGCAGCCACAGCUUCCCUGGGCAACCUGGGCCAGGGUCUCACCACCCUCUCAGGAAAUAAUUUCUUCCUCAUGUCUAAUUUAAAUCUCUUCUCUUUCAGUUUAAAGUCAUUCUCCCCUCAUCCUAUCACUCCUUGUAGAAAGUCCCUCCCCACCUUUCUUGCCCUACCAGAGCCCCUGGGCCACAGUGACUCGUGCAGAACAUCUUCCCUCGCUCUGCAGUUUGAAAGGGUGAGUGUCCCCAGAAGACUUUACAGCUUGUCACAUGAACCAAGUGACUCCAGGUCUGCAUGAGUGAAUAGAAAGGGCAGGAAUGAACCCAGCAUCUUUCCAUGACACAUUUCCAUCCACCACAUGUUACUCAAGAUGCAGCAGACUUGCAGCAUCCCAAACCUUCCAAGUCUCAUCCUGAGAGCCAAGUUUGUCUCUAGACCUGCCUGCUUCCUUUAGGUUUCAACCCGUCUAUUGAUUCCCUUUUUUGAUGCCAGAAAUGCCUCCACAAGCCAGAUUUCCCUGAUAAUUGUUCUUUGGAUUAGUUUGGAAAAUUGCAUAAGCCCUGGGUUUGAGCUGGCUGGGUCUCCCCUCCGAGAGCCCAAGGUUUCAUGGGGCAAAGACUAAAGAGCUGCUAAAGGCAGAGAUAUAACAGAUGUUGACAUGUAGUGAAAAUACUAGACGCAGGAGCCUAAGAUAAUAAAUCUGAAAAAUUAACACGUAGGAGAACGAAAAAAGGAGCAAUAUGUUUUGGUAAUCAUUCUGAACUGCUGAACCCUUCUCCUGCAGUUCAAAAAUCUCUGGUAUUAAGCAGAUGUCAUUCAACCAAUGAUUAACACAUUACCAAAUUUCUCCAGUCGUUUAAUAAAACUUUUACAUAACAUGCAGGUAAUUGCUUCCAAAUGUCAAGGUAACAAUGUGGGCUUCUAUGGAUGGCAUUGUUUCCAGCAUCAGGUGAAAACCCCUCUCGUUGCCUUGAUAUCAACCAAGUCCCUCUGUGAAGACCCCUCUUCUGGCCAGCUGCUUUUCCCGUCACUCCUCUGCACGCCAGAGACAAAGAAACAGGCUGGGAAGAGCCAGAGCCUUGGAUCUGGGAAUGGGUUUUUCCCUUCAAGUGUCUGUACAGAUAGCAAACAGGCCCUGUGCUCCAAAACUGGAACAGGCAGCCUGGAGUGAUUUCUGCUGCUACUGGGGGAGCAGGUGUCAUCGCUGACAACCAGCAUCUCCACUAUGGCUCUUGCUGCUGCCAAGAAAGCAGGACUGUCCUGUGGUCUUGGGAAUGGAGAGAAGACAUGCCCAAGGUGCAGACACUGUUGGUGUAGUGCUCUCUGACAGUCCAGGCCCCCAGGAACAUGACCAGGUGACUUCAUCUCUGCACACUCCAGUUCCUUGGCUGCAGAAGAGGGAUGACAGCAGCACUGACCCUCCCAAACGCCUCUGAGCACAGGACUGCUGAUGGCUGAGGAUGCACAGGUAGAUCCCUUGCAGGCUGAGCCUUGUGUGGUAUUAACAGCUGAUCCCAUGACCAAGACCUAGGUCCCAUGUCAAGACCUUAGACACAUUUUGGGUGCCUGGUGCUGUCUAGGUGCCCUGCAGGACUCCAGCUGCUCAGGUAACCUGUAGAUCCAGCCCUUGUUUCCCUGGAGGGUGGGUUGCACUCAGUGGUGACCAUUGGUCUUGGGUCUUGUUGAUGGCCACCUUCAUGCCAUGGGGUGGUGGGGGGCCACCAUUUGGGGGCAAGAGCAGAGGCAUGAAGGGAAACGUGCUCGUGGCCAGUCCCUGGAUGGCACGGGGUGAGGUCUUUUGGAGGCAGAAAGAAGGAUGGCAGCACCAUUGGAUUGCCAAGCCUGGAAACAGCUUUGAAUGUUUUUAGUUUAGUUUAGUUUUUAAUAGAAGCACUUAUCUUCUUUAUCAUGUCCACAACAACUUUUAUCACGAGUGAAAAGCCAUCUCCUUUUUGUCUUUGUUUCGUGGCUUUAUGAAGACAUAAAUCUGUGGAUCUCGGUUCCUCCAUGUCCUUAAGGGACUCUUGAAGCUCUCAGUGUGCUCCAAGGGUAAUGGCUGUUUGCUCUUCAGCUCCAGUGUUUUACAGCCCACCAGAACAAAUCCCACUUGCCUACCCUCCAGUCCAAAGUCUCCAAGUUCAGAGAAGUGAGGAUACUCCAGAUGGUCCAGUGGUGGAGGCCAGGCUGUGGAGAGCUGGAGAGAGGCUGGAUAAAGCUCAUGGAGGGGGCUAAUUUGCAACCUUGAACUUAAUGGGCUUUUCUUAUCACUGACAUCUGUGGCAGGGCAAGAGGGGUGGGAGCAUCUACCUGUCCAUGGGCUGCAGAGCAGAGGUGACCUUUCCACGGGCCAGCUCGGAGGGAGCGCGGCUGCUGCAGGCGCCUGGCAGGAGGGCUUUACAUUGCUCGAUGGCUCUGUACUGAAAAGCAAUACCUGCUGAGAUGAAACCCUUUGGCCUCCUUCCCCCUGUCUCCAAGGCAAACACAGACAGUUCUAUUCAUACCCACAAGAAAUACAUAUUUCAGCAUUUGAUUCUUUUUUUGGUGUGUGCUUUGUUUUAUCUAGCGCCACGGAGCCUGGAUGUCUUUUUCAUCUCAUAUUGUGCUUUGGAUGCAGCCUCUUUUAUUCAGCCCUCUUGCUGCCUUCAUAAAGAAUAACAGCAGCAGUUGUUGUUCUUUCUCCUGGAGCAUGAGCUGCUGUAAACUGAAGGGAAACGUCGUGCUGGAAGAGGGAGAGGGCAGGCAGGACACUGCCCGUAUCCAUUUCCACACCAGAGCUGCAGGCUGGGCAGUUUGUCUUUCUCAAGCCUUCAUGGAGAGCAGCAAAUUGUUCUAUAAAGAUUCUUCUCUUGAAAUUUGAUUUUUCUAAGGAGACAGGCUCAACUUGUAAACUUGGGAUAAAAAUCUCCCACUUCUUAAAUGGACAGCAAAGUCCAAGAUAGAAGCUGUGGCACUGAAACCUACCAGGCUCUUCAGAUUCUGCCUCUCUCCUUCCCUAAACCUGCAUCUGAAGCUUCUUUUUCCUGGCUGUGGAGACCCCCUUUUGUGGGCUUAGCAAAGCCCCACCUUGUACAACCCCUCCGUAACUGCCAUAAAGGAGAAAACCUUGCAAGGACAUUUCUGCAUGUCUUCCAGUUGAGGAGGGACAAGAGCUGCUGUCCCAAGUGCCACACUGAGGUGGCUGGGUGAGUUUCCAGAGCAGCUCUUCUGGGACGCAUGGUGCCUGGGAGGCAGUGCCCAACAAGACCCUUCCCAGCUCUACUAUCUGGUCCUUCAUGCCCAAGUAAAUACCAAAACCUCAUAUAUUUUUUUAACAGUUCAGCCUCUCUUCAUCUUGGGCUGCGUGUUUGCCCAAAAGUGGAACCAAGGCUGCUCUGACUCUUGUUUCCCUGCUUGUUCAGGGCAGGUGAGGGAUGGCUGGUACCCUCCCUGCUAAUGGAGCUGCAAAUCCAACCCUACAGCACCCAGGGCAGAGGGGGCAGGGUGGGCAGGGGUGGGAACAGCAUCUCUUCAGCCACAUGCACCUCUUCAGCUGCGCAGACCGCUGAAGACAAAUGAACUGGAGGAAGCAUUUCCUCUGCCAAAGGCUCACACCCGGGAGGUUUCUGUUCACAGUGUAGGUCAAGAGUUGAAAAACGAAGAAGAAAGCAAAACAGAUAGAAAGAUCCAUCUUCCUUUAUAAAAUCCCCAGAGCAGGGGGCAUUUGGAAGUCAUUUUUCAUGGAGCCAAGAGCUGUUUCUGGCCCUUUAGCAGACAUGAUUCGCCUCUCAAACCUCAGCGUUUGGGACACGGGGAAGUGUUUUCCCUCCAUCCUCACAGGUGUUGGAAGAGGAGCAUUAUCCUGGGUGCAAGACACUUGGCACCUUCCUGUGAGGCAGAGGUCCACGGUGGUUUGGGCUUUGGGGCAAGGUGGAGCCCAGUGCAUGGUGAAAAUUGUUCAUAUCUUUGGUGUGUAAGUGUAAUUUUAAAUGUACCAGAGCUGAGAUGCAGAAAGGAGUGGCUUGGAUUUGCUGGUAUUAAUGCACAGGGUGAGUGGGACAGCUUUUAGGGAAAACCCAUGCAAGAAGAGGAAAGAGAA